rnacentral:rRNA from 1 species
GAUGAACGCUGGCGGCGUGCUUAACACAUGCAAGUCGAACGGAAAGACCCUGCUUUUGUGGGGUGCUCGAGUGGCGAACGCGUGAGUAACACGUGAGUAACCUGCCCUUGACUUUGGGAUAACUUCAGGAGACUCGGGCUCUUACCGGAUAGGAGCUCCUGCUGCAUGGUGGGGGUUGGUAAGAUUCGGCGGUUGGGGAUCGACUCGCGGCUUAUCAGCUUGUUGGUGGGGUAGUGGCUUACCAAGGCUUCGACGGGUAGCCGGCCUGGGAGGGUGACCGGCGACAAGGGGACUGAGGGACGGCGCAGACUCCUACGGGAGGCAGCAGUGGGGAAUAUUGCAGAAUGGGCGGAAGCCUGAUGCAGCAACGCCGCGUGCGGGAUGACGGCCUACGAGUGGUAAACCGCUUUCGCCUGUGACGAAGCGUGAGUGACGGUAAUGGGUAAAGAAGCACCGGCUAACUACGUG